rnacentral:rRNA from 1 species
UACAGAGGUGGCAAGCGUUGUUCGGAAUUACUGGGCGUAAAGGGCGCGUAGGCGGCCUUCUAAGUCAGACGUGAAAUCCCCAGGCUUAACUUGGGAACUGCGUCUGAUACUGGACGGCUUGAGUAUGGGAGAGGAACGUAGAAUUCCAGGUGUAGCGGUGAAAUGCGUAGAUAUCUGGAGGAAUACCGGUGGCGAAGGCGGCGUUCUGGACCAUUACUGACACUGAAUCGCGAAAGCUAGGGGAGCAAACGGG